CGAACAGUUAAAAGUUCAUGUGGUGAAUUGAGUUUAUAUAUUAUUAAUUGAUGGUGUAUUGAAUUGAAUAUGGAUUUUAAUUAAAAAAGAUUGGGAAUCAAAAAGGAGAAACAAAAGGGCAUGAAACUUUGUGCAAACAUCAGUCUAGUUUUUGAAAAAUUUUGUAAUCUGUGAACAACAAACCUAUACAUUUUCUAGGCUGUUUGUUUCUUUAUUAGUAAUAAUUAUUACCUAAUUAUUCCCUUUCCCACUAUAUAACACAAAGUACAACAAUGGUUUUCUAUUCUUUUUAUUUGUUGUUCUUGGAUAUAUAUAUAUAUAUAUAUACACACACACAUCAAUCGAACCACAUAAGUUUUUGUUUGUUUCCUUUUGUUCUCAGUAUUUUGCUUGCAGGAACUCCUGUAAUGAGAUAAUGAGUUUGGUGGGUUUAGGGUAUAGAGAAAUGUAACUGAUGAAUGUAAAAUUUAGUAUUUGUUUCUGAGAGAAAAAAAUUGGCAUGGAAGGGAGUGCAUUCAAUGGACUGAAGCUGAUGAGACAUGUGGAAGAUUGAAACUCCCAACAUUAUUAUUUUACUACUGAAAUGUCAACCACAUGGUCCCAACAUAUAAACAAUAAUUAAAAACACCAAAAUAAUUGAAGAAGAUAAGAAAUGAGAAGAGAAAGAGAUGUCAACCAUAGUCACUUGUGCAUUGUUAUGGGCAUCCAUUCAUGUAGCUUUUCAAUACAAUUGUUAGUCUGUUCACUUAAAUUUUAUGUAUCUUUAUCUUAUCUAAAAGUUAUGAAAUAGGUUUGAGUUAUACCAAAAUAAUUAGCACUCAAUUUGACUGCUUAAGGGUGAUCUGUAUUUUAUAUUCUAUAAUAUAUAUAAAUAUAUAUACAUUUAACCAUUGUAUUCUAAAUAUUUUAGAAAAAAAUAUAUUUUUUAAUUCUAUAACUGUUAUAUAUAUAUAUAUCUACUAACAUAUAUAAUCCAUAUAUUCGGAGUAACCACAAACAUUCUUCCAUGAAAUAUUAUAUAUAUAUAUACAUAUAUGAUUUUUGGGAUUAGAAAAUUCUAUUAGAAUAAGAACUUUUUUUGAGAUUAAAACAACUUUUUCUAAAAAGAAAAUGUUACUGUUAGGUUUAUUUGAGAUAUUUUAUUUCACAGUAUGAAAAUAAUAUAAAAUAUACAUGUGGAUGUGUAUAUUAAUUAUAUUUAUUUAUUAAACUAAAAUUAUAUUUUUUUAAUUAGUAAUUUAAUUAGAUAUGAUAAUGGUAAUAUUUAAUAUUUAUACACUAUAACUUAUCACAAUUGGGAUUUCAGAGUUAUCUCGACGCAGUUUGCUCAGCGGUUUUCAA
rnacentral:lncRNA from 1 species